rnacentral:lncRNA from 1 species
UUGCAUCAGCCCUGUCAUCAUGAGUGUAAUUUUGACAAUGAUACAUGCAUGCUGCUAAUCUUUUGUUUUGGUUGUUUGUGAGACGUGCGGUUGAUUCCAAGUUGCUCACUGUGGACAAUGGCAUUUCAAAGAUUUAUUUGAUGCAGUUAUGUGAUGAGUAUAUAUGUAUAAUUUUUGUUUUUUUGCUUGUCUCUUAAGAUAAGAGAGGUGUUGUUACAUGUAAGUUGUUCAUUGGAUCGAUAAUGGUAUCGAAGAUUUCAUGCAGUAAAUUCUAUGUACUCAUUAUUGACAGCUACUUCUCUAUUUCCUUAAUCUGCAUCAGUUAAUUAGCAUUUCCUAUUCAUUUGGCUCUCAAAUGAACCGGUAGGUAUUUGUCUAUUUGCACCAACUGGUAAGCAGUGAAAGCUGCACAUGUGUUUUUCUCUUUAUGUUCUUGUUAACAUCGGAUCAAUCUAUCGGAUGUCUUUACCACAACUAACAAUAAUGAACUAAUUAACUAAAUAACAAAUAUUUCAAUAUGAUUUCGCAAUGUUAAGGUUGUAGUUUUAUUUUAGUUUUUUUUCCAAACAAUUUUACUCUAGUUUUUAUAUUAUUGUCUGUGAAGUUUUCAAUCAUGGCCUCGGGAUGCCACAACAUCUAUCCAAUUAAGAAUUGUGUUAUCAAGAAUGUGGUGCGGUUCUUGGCAGUUUCGACCGUGUAAAUGAGCCACAUUGUACCAAUCCCACUUGAGUAAUGCAUCAUCGAUUGUAGUGACGAGGGGUUUCAUUGGAACACAUUACCAAUGAUCAAUGAUGUUAACUCUCCUAAUGCAUCGAUCGUCAGUUCUAUUCACUUUUCUAUUCAGAUAUGGUCAUUUAGUAUCUCCUUAGUACAGUAUAUAGCCCGUAAUAGCCUUCUAAACUCUAAUUAGAGCAUUAGUUGUGUACUGUUGUCCCUUUAUUCGGCACUAUCAGCCUUUAUGUAAACUCUAAUUAAACUUUUUUAGCAUG